AGUCUAGUGGUGUAUUUCACGUCGGAUUGCAAAUCCGAAAAAGCGGGCGGCCACCCGCCUAGGCUU
rnacentral:tRNA from 1 species